rnacentral:lncRNA from 1 species
ACCAGAGUGUGUAUUAGCACAAUCCACUUCCUGUAAUGCAUCAUCAACAAGCAAAACAUCAGUGGCAAAAAAGCUUCCUUAAUUUAUAGCUCCCUUUCGGAAUCUAUCUGCAAAUGAAGUUCUCUCUGUCUCUCUCGCACUUGAGCUCCUCUGACUGAGCCAGACAUGCUGCAUUGGGAGUCGAUUGUUAGUUCCGAGAGAAGAUAAGUUAGGCAGUUAUAUUGUCAGUUUGUCCCUGAGCUGCAGUACUACUGUUCCCUUACGGCCCAGAUGAACACCAUGGAGAGACUAGUGGCCCUGUGCACCUGCCUGCUGCUGCUGCCGGGUGUGCUGGUCAACAUAGAGUGUCCCGACGUCAGCCUUGGCACCACCAGAGCCAGUCCUGGUAUUACCAGUUCCAACAUCACCACUGGCCUCAACAGCACCACCACUGGGCCUAUGAAUGCCAUGCCUAUGAACACCACAAAACCACAAGGACCUGACACAAACCAGACAACCACAAACAACAGCAGCACCACACCCGGCACCAUCACACGGAAUAGUACCACACCUCCCAGACCUCCGAGCAACACCACCGCUCCCCGUGACCUGACCAGUACCACCAGACAGACUCCGACCUCCACUAUUCUUACAACUCAAGGUACUACUAAGACUACUAAGACUCCUCAGACCACAAAGCCAGUGCCCGUCAGCGGUGGUAGCAAAGCAGGAUAUGUUUUAUUCUUCGUCAUCAUUUUGGUUGCUGUCAUCCUCCUGAUCAUUUGUUGCCUCAAAAAGAACAAAUCAAGGAGGUACUCUGUUGACCUACGCAAUAAGCAUGAGGAUGCAGUGAUCCCCCUGAGCGCAGUGGAGGCUGACGCCGUGUUCGACGCUACUCCUGAGAAAGAGAUGGCGACCUUCACUGCCCCAGAAACAGAGCCAGCUGCCCUGGCUCCUGACCCCGCGGGGGACCCAGAGCCUGAGAAGGGGGAGACGGCCUCUGGUUCCCGGGAGCCACUGGUCUCUAAGCAGAAGCCUGAGAAGAUGGACAUGGUGGAUCUAAACGGCACAGAGGCCGCCAUCUCCACCAAAACCUCCAUGGAGUCUCUGGAGGACCAGCUGAAUGACAACAACAGCAACAACUACUGCACUAGAGCCAAUGGGGGGCCUGCUGUAGGGAUAGUUUCCAAGGGCGGCUUUUAUGAGAUCCUCCAGAGCGACCCAUUUUAGGAUACACUGUUCCAGAGUCUGCCCACAAUACCUGAGCCUGAUGAAAAGGAUGUUUCCCAGGAUUAAGAUGCAUUGCAACCAUUUCACCUGAAAUGUACUUUCUCACCCUCUCUUCACAACUCUUUAUUAUUGUUUUACUUUUUCAUGUGCAAAUUGAAUUUAUUGUGUGAAAUUAUUGUUCAUCCAUAUUUUGGAUGAAUUUCUUUGUUGUUUAGAUUUUAGAUUCUUGCUAUUCCUGUGUAAAAUAUAUUGUUACUUGUUUGAUUUCUGAAAAUGACUUUGCCCAUUCCUAUGUCAUUUUGAAAAAAUAAAUGUUUACCAUAAUUCA